ACGACCGCAUCAUAUUGAAACAUUGGUUCCUGUACGAUCACCGAAGUUUAGCAACAUAGAGUCUGGUCAGUACUUAGAUCGGUGACUGCUUGGGAAUACCAGGUGUUGUAA